rnacentral:rRNA from 1 species
AACGAACGCUGGCGGCGCGUCUUAAGCAUGCAAGUCGGACGGUAAGGGGAGCUUGCUCCCCCUAGAGUGGCGGACUGGUGAGUAACACGUGGGUGACGUACCCUUUAGCUGGGGAUAGCCGGUAGAAAUACCGGGUAAUACCGAAUAAGCUUGCCCUUUUGAUGUAGGGUAAGGAAAGGAGCUUCGGCUUCACUGAAGGAACGGCCCGCGCACUAUUAGCUAGUUGGUGGGGUAACGGCUUACCAAGGCGACGAUAGUUAUCCGGCCUAAGAGGGUGAACGGACACAUUGGGACUGAGAUACGGCCCAGACUCCUACGGGAGGCAGCAGCUAAGAAUAUUCCGCAAUGGAGGAAACUCUGACGGAGCGACGCCGCGUGGAUGAUGAAGGUCGGAAGAUUGUAAAACUCUGUUGUAAAGGAAGAACGACCAUUAUAGGAAAUGAUAAUGGAGUGACGGUACUUUACCAGAAAGCCCCGGCUAACUACGUG